GAUGAACGCUAGCGGCAGGCUUAAUACAUGCAAGUCGAGGGGCAGCAUGAAUGUAGCAAUACAUUUGAUGGCGACCGGCAAACGGGUGCGGAACACGUACACAACCUUCCUAUAAGUGGGGAAUAGCCCAGAGAAAUUUGGAUUAAUACCCCGUAACAUAAUGAUGUGGCAUCACAUUAUUAUUAUAGCUUCGGCGCUUAUUGAUGGGUGUGCGGCUGAUUAGAUAGUUGGCGGGGUAACGGCCCACCAAGUCUACGAUCAGUAGCUGAUGUGAGAGCAUGAUCAGCCACACGGGCACUGAGCGCCGGGCCCGACUCCUACGGGAGGCAGCAGUAAGGAAUAUUGGUCAAUGGACGCAAGUCUGAACCAGCCAUGCCGCGUGAAGGAUUAAGGUCCUCUGGAUUGUAAACUUCUUUUAUCUGGGACGAAAAAAGGCUAUUCUUAGUCACUUGACGGUACCAGAUGAAUAAGCACCGGCUAACUCCGUGCCAGCCGCCGCAGUAACAC
rnacentral:rRNA from 1 species